GUUUAAGUGUCCUCAACUUUUCUGAUAAAAUUUCCAUAAGUUUAUUAGGACAGGUGAUGAAAAAUGCAAUUUUAUCUACCUUUAUUUAAUUUUUAACAAAACAAAAUAAGCACCAUCGUAGUAACACAACUGAUAGCCACAUAAAAAACAUUCAAUUCAGUUACAAUACUGCAAGUCAAUUCGGUUAGGUUGAGGUUUCCAUUAAAUGUCAAAGGCGUUUGAAAAAAACUUCUUCCUAAGAAAUUCGUAAGGCACUUUUCAAAGACAACAAUGACGAGGCAAUUUUUGAUUUUGACGUAUAUGUUGCUGGAUUUUGAGAUUAUGUAUUUUGAAUUUUUUACUCUCUGUUCUUUAUAUUUAAUUACGCUUUAAAAACCAUGCAUAAGUCUUAACCCUGGUAUUGGGAAGGGGAGGGGCAUAAAGUGCUUGCGGCAUUUUGAGUCUCAUAACUUUUUAAUUACCCGAUGAAAUUCCCUGACAUUUUGUGACUUUUCUAAACUUUUAUUAGACUUUCAAAUAAUUGCCCUGUCAAUGCCACUUUGUCUUUUUUGACAGAUGUUCAUCAACCAGUGCUAAAAAUAAUUUUUUUCUAAACUAAUCUUCUGUAUGAAUAUGUGAUUAUGUAUGUGAUAGUGACAAAAAGUCAUCAUACAAUAUUGAUAUGCAUACUGUGUAAUUUGUAGACUGGAAUAUUGGGAAUUUGCAGAACUGAAUAUUUGUGCUUUUCAGAUCAAGUGAUUUAUAAAUUCCAGACCAUGAUUAAGCAGUUACUGUAAAUAGUUUUAAAAAAGAAAAAAAAAACGAGGAUUUCCAAGAAAGACCAUUGUUAUUCGACCAUUGUCUCAUUAUGACGUCAUCUCUUCCUGUGAUGACAUUUUAACCCAAAUAUUUUAUCGCUAAUUAGGUCACAACGUAUUGAUGCUUCUUUGUGCCACGUUUCGUCACUUAAAACUAAACAGAAGAAAAGUUAAAACCCGAGGGCACUUUAUGACUCCCCCCCCUUCAUACUUCCAAGGGUCAAAAAAGCCCAUACCAAAUAGGGUUAAACAAACCAAGUUUAAGAUUUCGGCUACAAAUGUAGAUAGCAAUGGAAGCAGACCCUAUUUGCAAUCCAGCUAGCUAGUUUAAUUUAUGCUAUUCUAUCAAGGUUUUUAUUGAGUUUGGUAAAAGUGCUUUUUAUUCUAACCGACAUUAUUGUUAUCCUCUACCAAUAUGAUCUGCAACUUAGUUUGAGGGUGGCUGAACUAGGCGGAACCAGAUAAAAAGUGAAAAACUUUUACCUUAUUAGUCAAAUACAGAUAGCUUCAUUUCUUACUAAACACACCCUGAAGGAGAGUGAUUUAUUCAAUAAGCUUUUGCGUUAACGGUAUGAUUACAUCUCAGCCUUACCUUCAAGUACGCCUUGUUUGUACGACACCGUUUUGCAUUUUCUCUAAGUGGUUUCCGGGAUUUGAGUUACUGACUGUGGCUCGUUUCCAUUUCUGACAUAACUUAGUAUACUAAUUAAAAAAACAUCUGAAAAUUAAAGUGGCGUCAAAAAAAUUAAAUUUUGUCCGAAAAAUGAAAUGCUUUGUUUUCUAAAAAAUUUGGCACGUUGAACAAAUAUAGCAUGCUGAAAUCGUGUUCUAAAAAAAUUGUUCUUUGUCACCUUGCUUUAACAAUAAAAACGACUUUUUGAUAAGAAUGAACACAACAAUCAAUAAACGCAUGCUGAAAAUGAUAAUCAAAUGUUGAGUGAUGUUUUACGCAAAAAUAACAUUAUAAAAAUAAACGUAGUAACGAAGGGCGUGUUAUUCUAAGCUGCAACGUCUCCUUUUUUAUGUUGAAAGCUGUUAGGUGGCAACUCUUUUUAAACCUGGAGAGAUCGUCAGCAGGAUAUAUAAUAUUUUUUUACAACUAAUUUGGUAACGACAAACUGUAGUUACAACUUCCUACGAAAACAUUGAGAAAAUGUCACUUUUUCGACUAUUUUAGAAAGUUGGCAUAUAGUAUCAACUUGCGAGCUCGCGGAAGACUGCAAGCUGUUGAAAUGCUACCUUUUAGGUGUGGGAUUUAAAGGGAACUAGUUGAACUUUUUAAAACUUUCGCUUUACGGAAUAGUCCAAAGAAUAGUCCACGAUGGGGUCCACAAAUUCUUUGAAUCUUGAAAAAAGGACCAUGAUGACGUCAGCAACAAUUAGCACAUUUCAGCAAGAAAAUGCUAAGCUACAAUUUUUUCUAUGACAUGUUUUAACGACAGAUUGUAGCGUGUUUUUCACUUACGUAAAGUGUCAAAUUACAGAAAGGUUUAGUACUUUUUUAACACAUUCUUCCAUCUCAAGUGUCAAGCUGGUUCACUAUAUGCGAAAUAAAUACGUAGCUUAACAUCACAAAAGGCAAGAAAAAUAAGAUCGGCGCAUUGAUGUAGUAUAAACAACAACCUUCGUUUUGAAGUAACGCUUGCCACAAUGAAAAAAAAAUGAAUGUAUUUCAAAUAUGAUUCUUUCAUGUUUACACUUAACCUUCCUUAAACAUAAAUUGUUCAACGUGUGAUUGAAUUUCUGAAAAUUCCGCCCUUUUGCUUGAAAAUCAUGUGAGAACGUGAUACGGAGGUUACUUCUGUAAGGCUGUUCUACACUGUAAAUGAAUUCUAUAAUUUUUUUUUCAACCUAGCCCACAACACCUUCUUAUUACAGAUAUAUAUUUGCAGGCGCUUUAUUAUUUUAAAGGUGAUCAAUUCCAUUUUAAAUUUAAUCAGAAAUUAUCUGAAGAUUUAGAAGACAUCAAUUAUCUUAUUAAAAAAGGUUCUGUGAACACCCAAAUAAUGUCCUCAUCUGACAAAAUUUGGGUUUCUAAAAUACACAACUCAACAUUCAGAGAGUUGCGGCAACCAUAAGACGGCCUAUUCUGGCCAAUCAGCGUACAUAGUAACACUUAAGAUGUUGGCAGACCAUCGGCUGUAAUGCGACUGUUUACACAAUUAUUAAGGAAUGUUGUACUAUCCCGUUUUCCACGACACUAUCAAAACAAUUUCUAAUAAUUAAUGUGCUAUAAAAAAUUCUUAAUUUGUCAAUGAGGCGCUACGAGAGCUUCUUUAGGUCGAAUUAAGGAAGUGUCUUCUGCACCACAUGUUGUAAAUCCCGUUUUAGUCAAGACGGAAGAAGGAAAGAAUAGACUUAUGCUGAAAAGCAACACAUUUACAAAGAGAAAAUUAAGUUUGAGAAUCGGAAAGUAGAAGGGAGUUUCUAGAUUAGCAAGAUUAGAAGUUUUAAGUUUGAUAUAAAGCAGGGUUACAAUCACAUAAAGUUUUCAGAAAAAUAUCAAAAAUUCCUAGGGUUUGCGUGGGUCAUAGAAGGAAGGAAAAGGUACCUUGUUUUACAGUUUUACUGUUUGGUCUUUCUCCUGCCCCGCUUAUUUUUACAAAAACAAUGAGAGUCAUUAGAAAAUUAGAGAGGAAAUCUGAUCAAGAUUGCAUUAUUUAUUACACUCGUCCCGGAGGAAAGGAGUGUAUUGGUUUCGGCUUGUGCGACAAAAAGUGACAUGCGAUCUGACCAAAUAUGGUAACUUACCCGCUCCCCCGCGCCAUAAUUCUUCUUUUUUUCCGCGACCCUAUUUUUCGCUUCUUAUCAUGUUGUGCGUGUCUUAACCCGUAUUUUGCAGACCACAGACCAGUCGUUUAUGCAUCGCUACCGCUGAAGUCGAAGCAUGCGCACUGCCCGCUGAGAAUCGAAGCACUCUUAGCUGUGUUUUCACAUUUCUACGAAAUUCUUUUAAAAAAUAGUAGCGGAAUAUAAAUGAAGUAUCGCUGGAAUAUUUAUCUUGCUUUCAUGCAAUCUGCUAUCUUGCUAGACUUACUGACCUACUGUUGUUGUACAAAGUGUGCCUAGUGUGUUGUUGUUCUGCAAAGUCUGCCUUCACUCACUGAAAUUUAAAACUGCUAGAUCGAGAAGACUUUCAAUACCUGGGGAAGCUGCUUUAGGUACCAAGAUAACAUCUUAGAACAUGGUGAUGCUAAUUUUAAGCAGUCAAAUUUCAACAGACCCUUGGGAUGUUAUGAGUUACCAACAUCAAUAUUGAUCGUUUUCAAAUUGCUAUAAGUUUCCUGAGUAUUACGUCAGCUCUUUUGGGUGAUGAACAUUACUUCUUAGCUCAUGGACAAAUGCAUUCAGAAACAGUUCAUUGUGUUUUCGAAAGCAUAUAUUGAUUUAUAAUAUUCAUGAUAAUCCUGGGGUCAGUUCUGUUUCACUUCGCAAACCGUCCUUUUCAUCUGAUGUUCUUAAUGUCAUGGUUAUUUACAGAAAA